CCCAGCUGGAAGAAAAGCUACUACCCAGACUGGUAUUCAACUGGAUCAUCUACUGUUUUAUCACAAGGGGAAUGGCCUUUGGACUGAAACAAACAGUAAUCUUUGCAAGACUAGAGAAUAAGAGAAAAAGUGAUGAAAAUGGAGUCUGCCAACUACAGAGUGAAGAAGGAACUGCAGUGACCCUGGGACCUGGGAUAAGGACAAGAGAUGCCCCUGACUUGCCUUGUGAAGGCAAGAUCAGCCUGCAAACCAGGCAGUAGGUCAUAGGGCAAAUAAGCCUCCAAAUACAGUUCAUCAGGCCCAGAGCAGAAACCUCACCUUCUCAGCAAGUACAAUGACAGAGAGUCCAGAGAGAAGCAGGUAAAGGACAAGAACCUCAGAGUCAACA